rnacentral:rRNA from 1 species
UACGUAGGAUGCAAGCGUUGUCCGGAUUUACUGGGCGUAAAGCGCGCGCAGGCGGCACUCUAAGUACGUCGUGAAAUAUCCCGGCUCAACCGGGAGGGUGCGAUGUAGACUAGGGAGCUAGAGGUCGGUAGAGGGGGGUGGAAUUGCUGGUGUAGCGGUGAAAUGCGUAGAGAUCAGCAGGAACACCCGUGGCGAAGGCGGCCCCCUGGGCCUGCACUGACGCUCAUGCACGAAAGCGUGGGGAGCAAACAGG